rnacentral:rRNA from 1 species
ACUCCUACGGGAGGCAGCAGUGGGGAAUCUUGCGCAAUGGGCGAAAGCCUGACGCAGCCAUGCCGCGUGAAUGAUGAAGGUCUUAGGAUUGUAAAAAUUACUUUUCACCGGGGACGAUAAUGACGGUACCCGGAGAAGAAGCCCGGCUAACUUCGUGCCAGCAGCCGCGGUAAUACGAAGGGGGCUAGCGUUGCUCGGAAUUACUGGGGCGUAAAGGGAGCGUAGGCGGACAUUUAAGUCAGGGGUGAAAUCCCGGGGCUCAACCUCGGAAUUGCCUUUGAUACUGGGGUGUCUUGAGUAUGAGAGAGGUGUGUGGAACUCCGAGUGUAGAGGUGAAAUUCGUAGAUAUUCGGAAGAACACCAGUGGCGAAGGCGACACACUGGCUCAUUACUGACGCUGAGGCUCGAAAGCGUGGGGAGCAAACAGGAUUAGAUACCCUGGUAGCGACUGA